rnacentral:misc_RNA from 1 species
GAUGAAGAACGUAGCGAAAUGCGAUAAUUAAUGUGAAUUGCAGAAUUCCGUGAAUCAUCGAGUCUUUGAACGCACAUUGCGCCUCAUGGCAUUCCGUGAGGCAUGCCCAUCUCAGCGAUAGAAAAUAUUCUCAAAUUUUAGUUUUGUGCUAAAAUUUGGAUCAUGUCAAGGAAGCUAUUACUAUUAUUGUGAUCGCUCUUUGGAAAUUGAUAGGUCUUUGAGUUGCUACUCAUAGAACGUGAUGAAUCUUUCUUCGUUCUAUUGUAAUUCACUCUGGUAGUCCUAAAACUUGUAUGCCUGUGGCAUAUCUUGUAAUUUGACCUGAGAUUGGGUAGGGAUACCCGCUGAACUUAAGCAUAUCAAUAAGCGGAGGA